CUUCCCUUCCUAGCUGCUCUUAAACAUCUAUCUUGGCAGACGCUUCUGCUAUAGAGGGAUCAACUAAGCUGCCAUCUCAAGCCUCUGUUGCACGAGACAGAACCUCAUGCAGGUUAGAGUGGAUCUACUAUCUACGACUUCAGAAUUCCCUGUCAAUUCAACGGUGCAAAUUCAUGCACAUUUGAUGAUUAAAGGCAUGACUCUUUUUAAGGUUUUACCUUGUAACAUCUCACCGCCAGACAUAAUAACUUUCGUUGAAAUCCCCGCAAGACUUGAUUCGCUAGGCUAUUUGAAACAAUAUUUCGAGCGAUUGAACUAGCAUGAAACGAAAGAGAGAGCCCACUCCAAUGAUUGUUAAAACUUAAUGAAAGCAUGAACUUAUUCCUUUGUUCUGUCUUUUGCCAUAAAAACUUCUCAAUUCUCAUUCAUAUGGAAAAUACAGGACUAUUACAUCGAGGUGGUCUGCCUUCAACACCAGCAUCAUAUAAAACUCGGACUGAGUAUUUACUAUCCAGUUGUCUGACGGAUUAGUUGCUCGAUUGACCCAAGUCCACUGGACAUCUUCA
rnacentral:lncRNA from 1 species